ACGAACGCUGGUGGCGGGCCUAAUACAUGCAAGUCGAACGAGAAAGUCCUUCGGGAUGAGUAUAGUGGCGCACGGGUGAGUAACACGUAGGUGACCUACCCUUUAGUGUGGGACAACCCGGGGAAACUCGGGCUAAUACCGCAUAAGACCCCGGGUUUUUGGAUCUGAGGUCAAAGGCGCAAGUCGCCGAGGGAGGGGCCCGCGGCCGAUUAGCUAGUUGGUAGGGUAACGGCCUACCAAGGCAAUGAUCGGUAGCUGGUCUGAGAGGAUGAUCAGCCACACUGGUACUGAGACACGGACCAGACUCCUACGGGAGGCAGCAGUGGGGAAUAUUGCGCAAUGGGCGAAAGCCUGACGCAGCAACGCCGCGUGGGUGAUGAAGGCCUUCGGGUCGUAAAGCCCUGUCAGAUGGGACGAAGGAAGUGACGGUACCAUCGAAGGAAGCACCGGCUAACUCCGU
rnacentral:rRNA from 1 species